rnacentral:sRNA from 1 species
UUUGUUUUUUCUUCAAGGCCCCAUUCAAAAUGCUAUCUUCUCUCUUGAUCUUUUCCAGGCCACAUUCUUGGCCACACACAUGUUGGACAGACAGACACAGCUCUCUGUUGGGGUCAUCGUGCCUGUAAAGGGCUCUUAGAGCAUUUGGUACCAACCCGUUUUAAGUAGGUCGUAAGGUUUUCACGGGAGAGAUGCUCAGUAUCAGGAAGGGAUACCUCCGUCCAGAAGGCCUGGGAACACAGGGAAUGUUGACAGGUCUUGCUGCGUCCUUCCGUAUAACGGCUCACUCUUCAUCAAACCUGAUCUGCCUUUUGUCAGAAGGACCUGAGCCAGGAACCUAGCUGUGGGACCAUAGUGGCCCAGGGUUACGAAGGAAGAGUCGAGGGAGCUUUAACUCGAUCCCUCAAACAUGAGGGACUUGGCUACCUCCUGACUCCUAAUGGCACCGUAAAGCUAGAGCCCCUACCAUCAACCCUGACCAGCUCGAUGCGCAAUGAGUCUGGCUACCACGGAGGGAGAAGGGGCCGUGGGGCCGUACCUAGCAAUGGUGUCACAUCUGCUUCACAAGGCGUCUGCUGGAGAAGCGCUCACAGUCAGGCAGCUACCUACCUUCUGGAUUCUAAAGAGCCCUGUCCAGUCUUCCGGCUUUCAUCU